UACGGAGGGUGCGAGCGUUGUCCGGAAUCAUUGGGCGUAAAGGGCGCGUAGGUGGCGGGACAAGCGUGCGGUGAAAGCUCGGGGCUCAACCCCCGAGUCGGCCGUGCGAACUGUUUUGCUUGAGCACUGUAGAGGCAGGCGGAAUUCCCGGUGUAGCGGUGAAAUGCGCAGAUAUCGGGAGGAACACCAGUAGCGAAGGCGGCACUCUGGGCCGGUACUGACGCUGAUGCACGAAAAGCGUGGGGGAGCAAACAGG
rnacentral:rRNA from 1 species